GGAUGAACGCUAGCGGCAGGCUUAAUACAUGCAAGUCGAGGGGGAUUAUUUUUGUAGCAAUACAGAGAUAUGAGACCGGCAAACGGGUGCGGAACACGUACGCAACCUUCCCAAAACUGGUGAAUAGCCCUCCGAAAGGAGGAUUAAUACACCGUAACAUAAUCAAGUGGCAUCACUUUAUUAUUAUAGCUCCGGCGGUUUUGGAUGGGCGUGCGCCUGAUUAGGUAGUUGGCGGGGUAACGGCCCACCAAGCCUGCGAUCAGUAACUGGUGUGAGAGCACGACCAGUCACACGGGCACUGAGACACGGGCCCGACUCCUACGGGAGGCAGCAGUAAGAAAUAUUGGUCAAUGGACGAAAGUCUGAACCAGCCAUGCCGCGUGAAGGAUGAAGGCCCUCUGGGUUGUAAACUUCUUUUAUCUGGGACGAAAAAAGGUCAUUCAUGACCACUUGACGGUACCAGAGGAAUAAGCACCGGCUAACUCCGUGCCAGCAGCCGCGGUAAUACGGAGGGUGCAAGCGUUAUCCGGAUUCACUGGGUUUAAAGGGAGCGUAGGUGGGCAGGUAAGUCAGUGGUGAAAUCUCUGGGCUUAACCCGGAAACUGCCAUUGAUACUAUCUGUCUUGAAUUAUCUGGAGGUAAGCGGAAUAUGUCAUGUAGCGGUGAAAUGCUUAGAUAUGACAUAGAACACCCAUUGCGAAGGCAGCUUACUACGGAUAUAUUGACACUGAGGCUCGAAAGCGUGGGGAUCAAACAGGAUUAGAUACCCUGGUAGUCCACGCCCUAAACGAUGGAUACUCGACAUCAGCGAUACACUGUUGGUGUCUGAGCGAAAG
rnacentral:rRNA from 1 species